UGUCUUAUAGUUUAGGUGCUUUAUUUUCUCUUUGCCAAGGAGAAGAUGCGGGUUCGAUCCCCGCUAUCCGCC
rnacentral:tRNA from 1 species